rnacentral:antisense_RNA from 1 species
GCUUUUCCGCCCCGGCUCUUCUUUUGUUGUCAAGUCCUUUUGAUAAAUGGUGGGGCUGGGAGAUCUGGGAGUCGGGAGCCAGUCUGUGCCCGCGUGGGGGGCGGGGGCCGAGCCUGGAGACCCGGUUUCGACCGGCGCGCACCUGGGGCUGAGCCGGGUGCGCGCGGGGGUCGGGUCUGGAACUGCCCUCGGUAUGCUCGCCUUCUCCUCUUGGCCCAUCUCACUCCCCUCCCCCACCUGACUCCCCUCCCCGGCUUCUUUCUCUGUCUCCCACUCCGCACGGGUACCGAGAACUUUCCGGGAAUCGACGGGAUUUCUCUGGCUGUCGUUUGCGCUGCAUUUAUCCGAAUAAAUCCAGCUCGCAGGCAUCCUGCAAGAAACGGCUCCCGGCUCGCGUGUACGCCGACACCUUGGCCCAACGCAGGACUCGAGGUGGCUUCUAGUGCCCGGGUGGCUGCAAGUCUGCCCUCCGAGGGAGGCUGGACAAGCGGCGCCCCCAGGUCGAGCGGCCUCUCGCUGCCUGGCAGUGCCUGGCAGCCCCCACCCCUGCCAGUGCUUCGGAAACCUGCCUGGCCAGGUUCGCCCGCGGUGAAAAAUGAAAGCAAAUUCCCCAACAGAGGUAGCCGGAACUUUCCUCGACGAAGGCUCCCUCCUGCGCCUGUGUCUGGAGAACCCCCAGAGCGCUGCAAGUUAGCAAGAGAGAUUCGAUGGCGGCUCUGGAAGGCGCACGAAGGGUGGGGCGGGGGAGCAAAGAGGCCACUGGGUGACCCAGCCUGGCCCGGGGUGAAACGCUAGAGAAGGCGCCUCGCCUUCCUUAUUUCAAUGCAACUCCUCGGCCCCAGACGGUAAAAAUAGUUUCCAAGCUGCCGCGGACGCCCAGGAUGUGUUUGCAGAGAUCAAACUGGGGAGGAGGCAGCUUUGUGAAAGUUGCAGAAAGAUUAGCCGAGAAGCGUCCGCCCGGCGGGGCUCAAGAAAGCUUGGGGACAGCUCCAUGUUCCUUGGGGCG